UCUUAGGUUUUAUUAAAAACCACUGACAGUAAAUCACCAGCAAUG
rfam:Oreochromis niloticus linkage group LG14, whole genome shotgun sequence.